rnacentral:ncRNA from 1 species
AUCCACUAGGGGCGCCGUAUUCGGCUGAGACAAGAGACCAUCUUGGACCCUUUGAACCUGAUCUAGUUCAUACUAGCGUAGGAAAGUGGAG